CCUACGGGGGGCAGCAGUGGGGAAUAUUGCACAAUGGGGGAAACCCUGAUGCAGCGACGCCGCGUGAGUGAAGAAGUAUUUCGGUAUGUAAAGCUCUGUCAGCAGGGAAGAAAAUGACGGUACCUGACCAAGAAGCCCCGGCUAACUACGUGCCAGCAGCCGCGGUAAUACGUAGGGGGCAAGCGUUAUCCGGAUUUACUGGGUGUAAAGGGAGCGUAGACGGCAGGGCAAGUCUGGAGUGAAAGGCGGGGGCUCAACCCCCGGACUGCUCUGGAAACUGCCAGGCUGGAGUGCAGGAGAGGUAAGUGGAAUUCCGAGUGUAGCGGUGAAAUGCGUAGAUAUUAGGAGGAACACCAGUGGCGAAGGCAUCUCACGAAUCCGCGAUUGACGCUGAUGCACGAAAGCGUGGGUAUCAAACAGGAUUAGAUACCCCUGUAGUC
rnacentral:rRNA from 1 species